UCACUGGAGUUUCUAAACUCCAUCAAAGAUGUGCUCAACAAUCUAU
rfam:Oryzias latipes DNA, chromosome7, strain: Hd-rR.